UUUUGGAAUAUCAAAAUGGCGGCUAUGUUAUACUUUUAUACCUACUACCUACUCUAGAGUCUAAUGUCAUUCUUCAUUGAUGUUCAAUGUAAAAUUUGAAUUAAUAGUCGAACUCUUAUUAUUUACAAUUUAGAGUAUAUUUUCAAGAAAAGCUUUAAAAAUGGCUUGGCAAAUACCAGGUCCAUGGAACCCAGGGUUAUCUUUAGCUCCUGAUCCUUCUACUAUGAAUAUGACCGGUAUGAGUUCACUUACCGCCGAACAAUGGAGCUUGAUGCAACAGCAAAACUGGCAGCAAUGGGCUCAAUGGCAGCAACAGUAUGCUCAAUGGCAAACUCAAUAUGGUGAUAAAUAUGCCAAUCAAAUGCAAGGAAUGCCACAGUUAGGAAUGGUUCCACCGCAACCAACAACAAUUCCACCCCCAGCACCGCCUCCACCAGAAAAGCCUCCUCCUCCACCACAUGAAAAUGACCAGCCUUUGUAUUGUGAGCCCCAUAUUCCAAAAGUGUUGCCAUCCAACCAUACUCAAAUGUAUAAUCAAAGUUUUAAUAAUCAUAAUGCAGGCAAUAUAAAUUUAUGUAACAAACAAAAUCAGGCUUACAAUACAGAGAAUAAAUGUGAUGCACCACCUCAACCCACAAAUUCAGUGAACAGUGAAGCAUUAAUGAAGCUAGCUGAAGAAGAGAGGUUGUUUGAUGUCCAAUUUAAGAAAUGGGAAGAAGAAAUAGAAAAAUGGAAAAAAGAAAAUGUUAAUCACCCUGACAAAAGAGCUUAUGGUGAGUAUGAGCAGAAGUUUGAGGCUUGCCGUGCUCAACUAUUAGAGAGAAGACAACAGAUGAAUCAAAAACGGGCAAGCCUUAUGAAUAGUGUGUCUCAAACAUCAAGCACAGGUAAUACACAAAUUUCUUCAUUAAAUCAAAAUACAUGUUCUAACCAGACUCAACCAUGCCAGAUUACUAAACCGCCUCAGAGCUAUCCAAAUCAAACUUCUGAUUAUAAUAAUUAUAAAGAUGAUUCUAGAAGUAACAAUAAAAGCAUUGAUUCUCAAGAUAGAUAUGAUUCAUAUCAGGGUCAUAAUAGUUUCUCAUCAUUGAGGAAAAAUGAAAGUAACUUGAACAUGUCAAAUAAGCGUUGUAAACAAGAUGAGAUACCAAAACCAAGUUUUCUAACCACUGAAGCAUCUAAAGGAAUUCCUGGAUUGGAUUUGGUCCGGCAUCCAGAAAAGGCACCUCAGCAUGAUAUUAUUGAUAUAACUCAAGAGAAAACAGACAUUCACACAACUACUGAGGUACGCCCUGAUUAUUCAACAAUUUCUCAGGGUAUCAAUAAUAUUCUUGGAGAUGAAAAAAUCAUGAAUAUACUUUCCAUGGUGCAAAUUCAAGCAUCAAAUAUUAACAGCUCAGUAAACAUAAAGACACAACAUUCAGAUGGAGAGUGGAAUAGAGGUUUUAAUAAAAAUCAGGAUAAUUUUGAUAAUAGAUCACAAGGUGGUAAUUUUGACAAUCAAUCACCAGGUGGUAACUAUGAUAACCGACCCCAUAAUAUACAGGUUCAACAACAGCCUCAAAACAAUUAUGGCAUUAGACCACCACCAUCCAAUAACUUUGGUACCAGAUUACCACUACCUAAUACUUUUGUAAACAGAACACCAGCCCCAUACAACUAUGAAAACAGACCACUAGUACCAAAUGUACCAAUAAAUCAGCAAAAUAGACCAUAUCCACCAAAUAAUUUUGAAAAUAGAAGUGCUGAUUAUGGUAUAGGACAAACAAAUUUUGAUAAUAGGUCUAACAUGCGCAAUGGACCUGAAAACAACAGUCAAAUGCCAAAGAACAAUUAUAAACAGCUUUAUUCUAGGCAGCCACAUGAUGGGUAUGAUCAAAGCUUCAAUGAAAAUAUUGACAGUUAUGAUCAGUAUGGGCAUCCUGAGAGGAGAAAUACAGGGAAUAAAUCAGCACCUCCUCCUCAACCUCUUUUAGAAAUUAAUACUGGCAUAAACAAAGUCACUAGUUUUGACCAAAGACCAGAUAUACCAGCUCCAGUCCCGACAAAGGUUUCUUGGUCAGAAGACCCAUUAUUUUCACCGUCAAUCAUUGUUGAAUAUGAGCACAAGUCCUUAAGGUUAAAAGCUCGUAAAUUCAUUGAACCAGUACAUACAUUUGACUAUAACCACAAAUCUAAAGAUGAAGAUAAAAAAAGAGAUUUUGAAAAAGAAGUGGAUGAACUAUUUACAAGAAAACCGCGAACUGAAAAAGAAAGCAGUCGACGUUUUCGAGACACUUAUUUACGAGAUUAUGAAGGAAGACCUGAAAUGCCUAAGGAAGAAUUUAGACCUAGACCGCAAAGAGAUGAACUCUCUUUCCGUGAAGAAAGACCUAGAUUAGAAGACAGAUUGGAUGAAAGGAGACAUGAUGAUCGUGAUAGGUUUAGGCGUGAGGAAUACAGGGAUAGAGAAAGAGACAGAGACAGGGAUGUUGGGCGUGAUAGAGAAAAUGCUCGUGAAAGAGAUAUUAGAAGUCGGGAUGUUGCAAAAGACCGUGAUUACGGACGUGAUUUAGGUAGAGAUCGCAAUUUAGGUCGGGAACGAGAAUAUGGAAGAGAAAGAGAUUUAGGAAGAGAUAGAGUAGUAGACCAUGUAAAAGAAAGAGAUAUUGAUUAUGGACGAGAUAGAGAUCUGCAAAGAGAUAGAGACGUUAAGGAUAGAAUAAGAGGUUUAGACAGAGAUAGAAACCAUAGUAGAAGUCGUGACAGUGAGCAAAGAAAACGGGCUAUUAGUGUGGACAGUGAAAUUGGUACUGAUUCUAAGAAAUAUAAAAUUGAAAACCCAAGGCCGACUGUUAUGAUUGAUGACAUCUUAGAGGAGCCAGGUCGAAGUAUGAGGCCAGAAAAAAUUGUUAUUAUUUUACGAGGUCCUCCUGGCAGUGGAAAAUCGUAUUUGGCGAAGUUAAUACGUGACAAGGAAGCUGAGCAUGGUGGUACAGUUAGGAUCAUGUCCAUUGAUGACUAUUUCAUGCAAGAGGGGGAAACAGAGGAAAAGGAUCCGAUUACUGGGAAAAUUGUGAAAAAACCUUUAUUAAAAUAUGAAUAUGAUGGACAAUUAGAGGAAACAUACAUAACAUCCUUAAAGAGAGCAUUCAAGAGGAGCAUCACAGAUGGCUACUUCUCAUUUUUGAUCUUCGACGCUGUCAACGACCAGUUAAGAAGUUAUGCGGACGUGUGGAAUUUUUCCAGACAAAAUGGAUUUCAAGUUUACAUCUGCACGAUGGAGUUAGAUCCACAAAUUUGCCACAAACGGAACAUACACAAUCGUAGUCUCGAAGAUAUUCAAGUUAUCUGCUCGCGUUUCUUCGACACUCCCGCGCACCAUAUCCUCCUCGACCCGACUACGUUGCUUCAGAGUGCCGCUAUUACGGACGUUACUAUGGAGGAUGCUGUUUCUAUGGAGGACGUUCAAGAAACAGAGAUGUCCCGGCAGGUCGAAGGUAGUUUUACCUCAAAGUGGGAGAGAAUGGACGAUGUCAACCAACUAGCCCGGCUUGAUGGAACGAGCAAACCACUCCGACCGAAGCUUUCCAUGGAAGACUACCUUCAGUUAGACGAAUGGACCCCUAAUAAAGCAAAACCUGGAAAGAAAACUAUGCAGCAUGGGUGAUCAUUAACAAUGAUUUCUAAAUGGAAGAAGUAUGAACAGGUAUCUAGGAAUUCCUUCAGCUAUUACUAAAGUAUACGCAAGAGAUAAUUAAAAUAAGUUUGAAAAGAUGCGGCUUGUUGUUAUGAGACGAUGAAAAACAAAAGAAGAAUAUCAUGAAGAAGACUUCUUUCAAAAAUCAAUGCGAAGUUACGAUCGAAUUUUGGACCGAGCUGUUCAAAGAAGUCAUUUCGUGCUUACAUGUAUGCGUCACCAACUUUCAUUUUCGGGGUAUUCCAAGCAAAAUAUUUAAAUAGGAAACAAUUAUACGAAUAUAAAAUUCCAAUCGGAAGACCAAUCUAAAAUUGACUUAAAAUAAACUUUUUUAAAAGAUAAACUUAGUUCUUUUGGCGCGAUGGAGAAAAAUGAUGAGAGUGAAUUUUUACGAUGCCGCGCGCACAC